rnacentral:lncRNA from 1 species
GAAUUUUAUCAAAUGAUGCUGCCUUGGAUUGAACCUAAAUUUUUUUUUCUUUUGCUUUUUAUUUGGAUUUGCCAGGAUAUUAGAUGAUAGAUUUAGAAGGGUUUAAAUACAACAAAUUUCGAAUCCUUCAAUCUGUAUUGGACAGCUUAUGUUAAACAUGGUUUAUAUAAGAAAUAUAACUAAAAAAACCCGCACCCUCAUUCCUGUCAACUACCACAGCCCCUUGAGCGCAUCCUCAUUUCCACCAAUCGCCACAGCCCCUCGGGCUCCUUUCCGAUCCUGCUCCUACCUCCUGCGCGACCUCCUCGUCAUUGUGCCUGGCGUCGGCAUGGCCUGACGUACACCCUUCUUCUCCUAUAUGGUCACACACCUACCUUUUUUGUCUUGAUUUUAUCCCCCUUCUUUGGCAAGACGCCCUCCCGUGCCACCCUCCUCCCUCAUCUCCAUAUUGAAAACCAACUCGUCUCCACACAAACCCCUUCAAUUGUUUUAUUCCCAACACCAUCAGCAUCCAUCACUAAUCUCUUACCACCAUGGUUUGUCGCACACCAACUUUUUCCUUUAGAUUUAUCUUUUUUAUUUGGCAAGCCACCCUUCUUCCAAAUUUCCCGUGCAAAAGCGGAGAGUUGGCGGAUCAACCUUUCCCCACUUAUUGUUUCUGCG